rnacentral:lncRNA from 1 species
GAAGAGGUGCAGUCUUCUUAUAGAAGCACCGGAGAGCCAAAUAGUUGGUCCGACCACACACAUAACCGAAACGAACACCACCUUCCUUUUUCUUCUUCUUCUGCUCUUGGGAUUGGAUAGGUUUUCCAUUGUAGUGGUUAGGAUUUCUCGGGUUGCAGAGCUUCUUUUUGUAAUGCUUAUUUUUGAAGGAUCGGUUCUAAUUUUUCCUAGGUGGGGCCUC